rnacentral:lncRNA from 1 species
GUGACUCGAGGAUGGUGCGGAGAAACAAGAAAGACAUUUAGAGACGGGAAAGUCAUGGAAACAAAAGCAACACAGAGUGUCUGGGAGAGGCUGGGAAACAGACGCAAGACUUAGAAGAGGGGUGGGGGAGAGAAGAAAGAAAACGGAAAUACGGUCCUAUGGAUUCCGAAAAGACUAUAAAGUACCCACUCAUUCAUUUGAUAAGUAUAUGUUAAACACCUACCUAUGGAAUGCCAGACCCUGUUUUAGGCAGUUGGAAUGGAGCCACAACAAGAAAAGACCCCACUGCUAAAAUGCUUGCCUUUUAGUGAGGGCAACACAAAUAAGACCAAGAUGCUAAAAACAGACUGAGAUAAAUCAGAGCGCUACACUCACUGGAGGUCAUCGAGUCUAAGAAUGCGCUGUUGGAGGUCAGGAGACUGCAGAAGCAAAAGGGAACAGUGUGUCUCACUGCAUCUUUACACAAACGGCAGUGUGGCAGAGGAAGACACAGAACCUUCACCCAGUAGCUGAUGGAAGCAGAAGCAGACACCCACAGCUAAACACUGAGCCAAACUCCUGGAAUCCAGUUGUAGAGGUGGAGGAGUGAUGAGCAAAGGGGUCAAGACCACGCUGGAGAACCCCACAGAAACUGCUGACCUGAACAAGGGGGAGCUCAUGGACCCCAGACUGAUAGCUGGGAAACCAGCAUAGGAUUGAUCCAGACUCCCUGAACGUGGGUGUCAGUUAGGAGCAAUCUAUGGGGCCUCUGGUAAUGGAUCAUUAUUUAUCCCUAGUAUAUAAAUUGAGUUUGGAAGCCCAUUCCACAUAAGAGGGACUCUCUCAGCCUAGACAUACGGGGGAGAGCCUUGACACUGCUCCAAAUGAUAUGACAGACUUUGAAGAUCCCUCAUGAAGGCCUCGCUCUCUCUGGGGAAUAGAAAGGG